rnacentral:snRNA from 1 species
GUGCUCACUUCGGCAGCAUAUAGACUAAAAUCAGAAUGAUACAGAGAGGAUUGGCAUGGCCCCUGAGCAAGAACAUAAAUGCUUCGACUGAGCAUGAAGGGACAGUU